UCUGAGAAAGACCAAAGCAUGUAAGGUCCUGCUCACCCAUGAAAGUCUCUAAGUACAGGAAUUCUGAUUCUAAAAUCAUCUCCAUUUAUAUUGCUUUAUGUUUUUGAGACACUAAGUUGUUUCUGAGCUGCCUUACCAUGAAGAUUCAUCAUCUUUUCUUAGCUCUUCUUUUCUUUGGCCUGUUAUCUGUGUCAGGAACUGAAGAUACUCAUGGGGUCACUAGCUUCCUGGACUGUAAAAAUCAAACACUGUGUAAUUCUCGAAAUGAAAAUGGAAGCUGUUCUCAUGCUAGCACAGAGGUUGGAAUAUGUGUCUUGCGUCUUAGACGUGCAAAGCUAACCAUAAAGUAGAAAAUUAGGAAGACAGGAUGCUCAACUCUCUGUCUUAUUAAAAUAUAAAGUCUGUUUUCUUUUCUCUCU